GGGUGCGUAGUUCAGUGGCAGAACGCAGUCCUGAUAAGACUGAGGUCGAAGGUUCGAUUCCUUCCGCACCCA
rfam:Candidatus Liptonbacteria bacterium RIFCSPHIGHO2_12_FTLL_60_13 rifcsphigho2_12_scaffold_2578, whole genome shotgun sequence.